AGCGCAGGCGGUUUCUUAAGUCUGAUGUGAAAGCCUUCGGCUCAACCGAAGAAGUGCAUCGGAAACUGGGAAACUUGAGUGCAGAAGAGGACAGUGGAACUCCAUGUGUAGCGGUGAAAUGCGUAGAUAUAUGGAAGAACACCAGUGGCGAAGGCGGCUGUCUGGUCUGUAACUGACGCUGGAGGACUCGAAAGCAUGGGUAGCAAACA
rnacentral:rRNA from 1 species